GCGUGGCUUCCGGAGCUAACGCGUUAAAUAGACCGCCUGGGGAGUACGGCCGCAAGGUUAAAACUCAAAUGAAUUGACGGGGGCCCGCACAAGCGGUGGAGCAUGUGGUUUAAUUCGAUGCAACGCGAAGAACCUUACCUGGUCUUGACAUCCACAGAACUUGCCAGAGAUGGUUUGGUGCCUUCGGGAACUGUGAGACAGGUGCUGCAUGGCUGUCGUCAGCUCGUGUUGUGAAAUGUUGGGUUAAGUCCCGCAACGAGCGCAACCCUUAUCCUUUGUUGCCAGCGGUCCGGCCGGGAACUCAAAGGAGACUGCCAGUGAUAAACUGGAGGAAGGUGGGGAUGACGUCAAGUCAUCAUGGCCCUUACGACCAGGGCUACACACGUGCUACAAUGGCGCAUACAAAGAGAAGCGACCUCGCGAGAGCAAGCGGACCUCAUAAAGUGCGUCGUAGUCCGGAUUGG
rnacentral:rRNA from 1 species